rnacentral:rRNA from 1 species
UACGUAGGGUGCGAGCGUUAAUCGGAAUUACUGGGCGUAAAGCGUGCGCAGGCGGUAAGUUAAGUCUGAUGUGAAAGCCCCGGGCUCAACCUGGGAAUGGCAUUGGAAACUGGCUUGCUAGAGUGUGGCAGGGGGGGGUGGAAUUCCGCGUGUAGCAGUGAAAUGCGUAGAGAUGCGGAGGAACACCGAUGGCGAAGGCAGCCCCCUGGGCUGACACUGACGCUCAGGCACGAAAGCGUGGGGAGCAAACAGG